CAUUUCAUAUCGUUCCUCUCUGUUAAUUUGAAUCUCACGUUGUUUGAUCUCUCUCAAGCCAUGGUCUUCUACCCCCUCUCGCUUCAAUAUCUCCGUUUCAGAUCACUCUCUGUCGUCUUGAAUGCGCUCAAGCCAUGGUCUUCGACCCCCACUCGCUCCAAUAUCUCUCCGUUUCAGAUCACUCUCUGUCGUCUUGAAUGCGCUGCCGCCAUCCUGCACAUCAAGUAGGGUUUCAUUUUUGUUUGGCAACGAUGCCAACCACUAGAGAUUGGCGAUGCAGAAGUUUCGAUCUUGUUCAAGGAGGCAUCUUGAUCUGCAUUGUGUGAUUAGAGAUACUUUGAGCAUUCUCUGUUUAGGAUGAACUUGGUUAUGAAAUCCGUGAUUUUGCUGACGCACCAGUCGAAGUUUCUGCUUCAGGUUUUCACUCUCUUUUAAUUAUGUCAUACAUUUUCUACGCCUUCUGUUCCUGUCGGCUUCAGUUCUUAUUAUCCAUUUUUGUGUUGUCGAAGGCCCCUAGACAGACCAUGGGGCGGUGUGUUUGGAACAAAGUUGAUUGAUUUCUGAGAACUCUUCUUGCCGCAACCUUCUUUUCAGUCAUGUUAUGACGAUAUUAUUUUACAGAAGAUAUUUUCUGAUAUUGAUCUACUAAAACUCUGAACUGCACAAUCACAAACACUAGAAACCCACAAAAUGUGGGAGGCAGAAGCAGCGACCCGCAGAGCAAGAAUGACGAAGAUCUAAAGCUUGAUGGUCCAAUUGCAGACGAAGGACCAUUAUAUUGCUCAACUGACCGAUUGGAUCCUGUUCCUCCUGAACAAGAACCAAAAACAGUGGAGACCAUCUCCUGUUUCUGAUCCUAAGCCAGCAGCAAAGGACCCAACCAUGUGAAAUGUCUUUCCAGAUUGACUGAGGAGAAGUGGAGAAGAUUGCAACAUCUACGUAGCAUUUGAAGACUACGAUACUUGAAGGUUUGUACACAUAUCAACCACUUGGACUUGUGACUUUAAUUGUGGUAGGGAAAGCAGUGCCUAAACUUGACCACCGGAAAUUGAUGGGCAACUACUGACUCACCUAUUCAUGGGAGAGCCUCUACCAUUAGUUUCAUGUCGCCUCCUGUAACUUCAUGAGUUUAAACUACUCUCAUUGAAGGAGACAUUUAGUGACAAUUUUCUUCUCCGCCUAAGAUUUGUAGUGCUAAAAAUUAAAACAUAUAUAGGGCAUGAAAAUGUUUAUUUUCAUUACAGAAAUAGCUUCCCUGCUUGUAAGGGAACUUCG